UAGAAACAGGCUAGGAUGGAGGCGGC
rnacentral:misc_RNA from 1 species